UACGUAGGGCGCAAGCGUUGUCCGGAAUUAUUGGGCGUAAAGGAGCUCGUAGGCGGUUUGUCGCGUCUGCUGUGAAAACUUAAGGCUCAACCUUGGGCUUGCAGUGGGUACGGGCAGACUAGAGUGCGGUAGGGGUGACUGGAAUUCCUGGUGUAGCGGUGGAAUGCGACAGACUAUCAGGAGGGAACACCGAGUGGCGAAGGCAG
rnacentral:rRNA from 1 species